AUGUGUGGUGGACAUCACUCCUGCUUACAUUCUGUCGGCAAGAGUAGCUGUCUGGCCACUCUGGGUGCAAGGGAAAGAAGAGGGAAAUGUUUCUUUGCCACCAGGUUGAAAUCAUUUCAAGGUUGCCCCAUAAGAGACACAGGGAAAGAUGGCAUCUGGCAGAGACUGGGAAUAUCCAAGAAGGGAGCCCGACACUCAUGUGGCCAGACAGGGACGCAGCAGCAUCAAGCAGAAGUGGCAGGGCGGUGCCAGGGCAACCCCAGAAACAAAGUUCCAUUGCUAUCACGAAGGCUGUUUUUUCCUCCUCUACUAUGUUUUCUGAUUGUUACUAAAGGAACACAAUGA
rnacentral:lncRNA from 1 species